AUCCCUAAAGAUCACACAACUACCAGCGAAGGCAGACACAUGUGAGCUGAAGAGUGGACAGGAAGAUGUUGCUGUCUCCUGCCUAAGGUGUUGCUCAGCAGGGCCUGCUGGCUCCUUUGCUGUCACAGUUUUCCAGAGUCAGCACAGUGCUGACCCUUGCUCAGCAGAAUUUAGGGUUGCUUUGUUCUGGUUCAGUUCCUGAUGGUUGCAGUUGGGGCAGCUUCAGAAGAGGACCUCCAGACUCUGUCACCCAACCCAGGAGACCAUGCCCCCUCACAUUUGAUAUGCUGCACGAAGCGACAUGGGUGCUGAGUACUGGUUCGACAGGUGCCAAGGGCUCCUGAGAGGCUGUUUCUCUGGAAGAAGGGCCGGCUGGCUUGGGGAUCAGUGUAUCUGUGUUAAUUCACAGGAAGAGGAUGAAGUUCUAUUGUGUUGACACAGGAGGUUCAACAGCACUGGGAACAGUCCCUGGUGCCAUCCUGGUAUUUGUGUGUGCAGCAGAAAGCCGGAAGUGGUUCCACCUGAUCCCCUCUGUCCCACAUCUCCCCUGUGGGAGGGGUCAUUGCUCAGUGAGGGGGGAAAGCCAGUGGGUGGAAGAUGUGAGCCACUGACUUCAUCACACGUGGUGUGGUCCCUCCUAAGUAGAACCUAGAUCUCCUGCACUUCCUCAGCCCAUGCACCAUUACCCACAUCUUACUGCAUGUGUAAACCCUUCCCCAACAUCUUUGGACACACCUCUGGAAACAGACUCCGAUCUGGAAGCUGAGUGGCUUGCCCAAGAAAGUGAGAUGGGAAUAGUGGCUCUCACUUCCUGGGUCCUUGAAGAUGCAGAGGCAGGCGAACAGCUUUGGGUGCCUGUCACAUACUAGUUUGUUCGUUUGUUGAGACAAUAUCCUAUUCUAGCCCAGGCUGGCCUGGAAUUCAUAGAAAUCCUCCCGCCUCAGCCUCCCAAAUGCUAGGAUGACAGACAUGAGCCACAACAUCUAGCUGGUGCCCAUCAAAUUCUGCGGACCAUCUCAUCUCCUCUGUGCCUGAGGUGGCUCUGAUGCAGAAUAAGGUGGUAUCGGGCUAAGUGAGAUGUCUGUGAUGGACUCACUAGGGUGCCACCCAUAGUUCCCACUCGUUGCACGGAGAAGCUGGAACUUGGACACGAGAACUAGAUUCUCUAACAGCUAUGUCUCUGCACAGAAAGUCAGCAUCUGGUUGUGUCCCAGUGACUCCCGGUCUGAAUCCUAAUUACCCUAGGAGAAACAUUUAGCUUCCUACUCUAGCUCUUCAGCCCCCUCCUUGAAACUCUGUGUUCUCCUCCUACUUCUCUGAGACAGAGCGGGUCUUUUAUUGGCCCCAGGGACUAAUGAUUCUGCAAGCUAGUCCCUGGGAUCUGCCUGUCUCUGCCCCACCCUUCCCCAGAGCUGGGAUUAUAAAUGCACACCAUCAUACCAGCUUUUUGUUUGUUUUGUUUUGUUUUUUCGAGACAGGGUUUCUCUGUGUAGCACUGACUGAUUGGCUGUCCUGGAACUCUUUCUGUUAGACCGGGCUGGCCUCGAACUCACAGAGAUCCACCUGCCUCUGCCUCCUGAAUACUGGGAUUAAAGCUGUGUACUGCCACCUGGAUUUUUUUUUUUUUUACAACAAACUAAAACAUGGGUUCUGAGGAUUGAACUUGAGUCCUCAAGCUUGCACAACUGGCAUUUUACCAACUGACCUAUCUCACCAACCUGUGUUCUUUCUUUGUAAGAGAAUAAACCGGGCUCGAGAUCUUGUGCACU
ensembl:lncRNA